GAUGAACGCUGGCGGCGUGCCUAAUACAUGCAAGUCGAGCGAACAGACGAGGAGCUUGCUCCUUUGACGUUAGCGGCGGACGGGUGAGUAACACGUGGAUAACCUACCUAUAAGACUGGGAUAACUUCGGGAAACCGGAGCUAAUACCGGAUAACAUGUUGAACCGCAUGGUUCAACAGUGAAAGACGGUCUUGCUGUCCCUUAUAGAUGGAUCCGCGCCGCAUUAGCUAGUUGGUAAGGUAACGGCUUACCAAGGCAACGAUGCGUAGCCGACCUGAGAGGGUGAUCGGCCACACUGGAACUGAGACACGGUCCAGACUCCUACGGGAGGCAGCAGUAGGGAAUCUUCCGCAAUGGGCGAAAGCCUGACGGAGCAACGCCACGUGAGUGAAGAAGGUCUUCGGAUCGUAAAACUCUGUUAUUAGGGAAGAACAAAUGUGUAAGUAACUAUGCACGUCUUGACGGUACCUAAUCAGAAAGCCACGGCUAACUACGUG
rnacentral:rRNA from 1 species